GUCGAGCGAUGAAGCACCUUCGGGUGUGAAUUAGCGGCGAACGGGUGAGGAACACGUGAAGAAUCUGCCUUCAACUCUGGGAUAACUCCGGGAAACCGGGGCUAAUACCGGAUAUGAGCCUUGAUCGCAUGAUCGGGGCUGGAAAGUUUUUCGGUUGAAGAUGACUUCGCGGCCUAUCAGCUUGUUGGUGAGGUAAUGGCUCACCAAGGCGACGACGGGUAGCCGGCCUGAGAGGGCGACCGGCCACACUGGGACUGAGACACGGCCCAGACUCCUACGGGAGGCAGCAGUGGGGAAUAUUGGGCAAUGGAGGAAACUCUGACCCAGCGACGCCGCGUGAGGGAUGAAGGCCUUCGGGUUGUAAACCUCUUUCAGUAGGGAAGAAGCGAAAGUGACGGUACCUACAGAAGAAGCACCGGCUAACUAUGUGCCAGCAGCCGCGGUAAUACAUAGGGUGCAAGCGUUGUCCGGAAUUAUUGGGCGUAAAGAGCUCGUAGGUGGUUCGAUACGUCGGAUGUGAAAAUCAGGGGCUCAACCCCUGACCUGCAUCCGAUACGGUCGAGCUAGAGUUUGGUAGGGGAGACUGGAAUUCCUGGUGUAGCGGUGGAAUGCGCAGAUAUCAGGAGGAACACCGAUGGCGAAGGCAGGUCUCUGGGCCAAUACUGACACUGAGGAGCGAAAGCGUGGGGAGCGAACAGGAUUAGAUACCCUGG
rnacentral:rRNA from 1 species